rnacentral:rRNA from 1 species
AGUGAAGCAGCAAAAGCUCAAAUUUGAAAUCUGGCACUAGCCCGAGUUGUAUUUUGCAGAGGUAGCUUUGACAACGGCCUGGAUUGAAGUGCCCUGGAAAGGGACAUCAUGGAGGGUGAUAGUCCCGUGAGCGGUCUAUGUGUCUGCGUCAUUAUUAAAAGCGCCUUCAAUGAGUCGAGUUGUUUGGGAAUGCAGCUCAAAAUGGGAGGUAAAUUCCUUCUAAAGCUAAAUAUUAGCCAGAGACCGAUAGCGAACAAGUAGAGUGAUCGAAAGAUGAAAAGCACUUUGGAAAGAGAGUUAAAUAGUACGUGAAAUCGUUGAAAGGGAAGCAUUUGCAAUUGGAUCUCACGAGGAAGGGUUCAUCCCCGCUGCUGCAGGGUGCAUUUCCUUCUCUCAUAGUGGGUCAGGGUCAGCUUGAGUAGUGGUAUAAUUGGAAGUGGAAUGUGGCUCUGUAUUGAGUUCUUAUAGCCAUUUUCAGACGCCAUUCACUUGGGCUGAGGUCGGCGUUGGGUUAUAUAGGUUGGAGAUGUAAAGUAGAUGAGUGGCAUUUUGUUAUUCUUCGCUUUGCGCUCUUUCUUGAUCUAGCAAGGACCCUGGCAUGAUGAUUGUAAGUGGCCCGUCUUGAAACACGGACCAAGGAGUCCAACGCUCACGCGAGUAUUUGGGUGGCAAACCCAAGUGCAUAAUGAAAGUGAAUGGAGGUGGGAAUUUACUACCCUUUUGUCUGCUCCUUUCGGGGUUUGGGUGAGAGGGAACUUGGUAAAUGCACCAUCGACCGAUCCUGAUAUUUAUGGAUGGAUUUGAGUAUGAGCGUGAUAGUUGGGACCCGAAAGAUGGUGAACUAUGCCUGCUUAGGCUGAAGUCAGGGGAAACCCUGAUGGAGGGCCGCAGCGGUUCUGACGUGCAAAUCGAUCGUC